rnacentral:rRNA from 1 species
UCGCCUGUUUAUCAAAAACAUAGCUUUAUGUAAAUUUACAUAAAGUUUAACCUGCCCAAUGAUUUUUUUUUAAUGGCCGCAGUACUUUGACUGUGCUAAGGUAGCAUAAUAAAUUGGCUUUUAAUUUAAGUCUGGAAUGAAUGGAUUUAUGAAUAUUUACUGUCUUUAUAAAAUUUAUGUUAAGUUUCUGAAGAAGGUGAAAAUUCCUUUAAUAAAAUUUAAAAGACGAGAAGACCCUAGGAGUUUAAAUGGUAAAUUUUGUUGGGGCAACAUUAUAGUAAUAUAAUCUAUAAAAUAAUAUUUAAUCUAAUCGAAAAUUUUUAAUUAAGAGUAAGCUACCCUAGGGAUAACAGCAUAAUUUGUUUAACUAAUAAGUUUGUGACCUCGAUGUUGGAUUAGGGACUGUAAAUAUUAAAUAUAUUUAUUGAUUUGUUCUGUUCGAACAUUUUAUACCUACGUGAUCUGAGUUCAGA